UUUCAAGCAGCAAGCAGCCAGACCUGAGUUCAACUACAAAUUUGGUGCCCUGUGUGAAGAGCUGUGCUUUCACAAUGGUUUAGCCUCCCCAUGUGAAGAACUGUCUGCCUGGUUUCCAACAAGUAGAGUAACUAGCUAUGGCAGUGUGCCAGGGCUUACCCACUCAUGCUACCAGGCAGUGACAGUUGCUCAUAAAUUCCAGCUGCUCAUGGCUAGCUGAUUCCGUGGCUGAAACUCUAUGGAGCUCCUCAGCAGCUACCAAGAUGCUUUUGUCUUGGGGAUCUUCCCAUCUUCCUCCUUCACCCUACCCCCAGUGGCAUCAGCUGCAUAUAAUGCUGUACUGGUGCAGGUAAAGUGACAUCUGGGAAAUCAAUGGGCUUCAAGGCUUGGUUCAGGUCCCACCAGAAAAAAUGAGCCUGAUUUUCUGAAAGCAGCAAGCCCCCUUUACAGGCCUUGUUAAACAUACUUUUGACUGUGGAUGAGAGAAGGCUGGUGAUAGAUAAGGUAAAUAAGGCGGCUCAGCACCUACAUCAGAAAAAUUCCAACAGAAUUCCCAACCCCAGAUGGGCAACUCCAUUUGUGGAUCUCAACUGGGACCCCAAAAAUGGGGAUGUGGCCCAGCUGGAUCAUUAUAAGACAUGUAUCCUGGAAGGACUUAAAAAGGAGGUGUCAAAACAGAAGAAUCUGAAUAAAAUUCAGGCAGCUAUCCAAAAGAAAAAUGAAGACCCAUCUGAUUUCUUACAGCUCAUUUACAAAGCUUACAGUAAAUAUACAGAUAUUAUAUACAGAUAUAAACUAAGAGGCUCCUAAAAAUUUGAGAAUGAUAAACAUGACUUUCAUUCAACAGAGUGCCUCUGUCCACUAGGGAAACAAGACAGGGCACUGGAAUAAAGUCUCUGCAUUAGGUUGCUCUUGCAUUGCUAUGAAGGAAUACCUGAGACUGGGUAAUUUAUAAAGAAAAGAGGUUUAAUUGCCUCAUGCUUCCGUAUGCUGUACGAGCAUGGCACUGACAUCUGCUUGGCUUCUGGGGAGGCCCCAGGGAGCUUUUACUCACGGCACAAGGUGAAGCAGCAGCAGGCACAUCAACACAGUGAAAGCAGGAUCAAGAGAGAGGUGGUAAGUGCCACACACUUUAAACAACCAGAUUAUGUGAGAGCUCAUUCUCUACCACAAGGACAGCACCAAGCCAUGAAGGAUUCGCUCCCAUGACCCAAGCACCUCCCAAUAGGCCCCACUUCCAACACUGUGGAUUACAUCUCUCUAUGAGAUUUGGAGGGGACAUCCAAGCCAUAUCACUCUCCCAGCUACUUGAUAUUGCCUUCAGCGUACACAAUGCCAGGGAAACUAAAAGGCUAAAGCCAGCCACAAUAUAUUUGAAAACUUUGGAGAAAAACUCAUGCCAGCCAAAAGAGGGGAGAUGAGGUGGUCAGAGCAUGGCCUUGGGUAGCAACCAAUGUGCCUAUUGUAAAGAAGGAGGCCACUGGAGAUCUGACUGCCCUAAACUAAAGACAAAAGAAGGGGUUGCUAAGAAUGAAGUUUGAAGUAGAUGGUAGAACAGUCCUAUGCUUCCAAUAAUUAAUGGCAGUGCCUCUAAAUCUUUCAGAGCCAGUUAAAAUUUCCCCAAAGGAUCCCUGGGUACAACAACAGUGGGGCAGAAGCUGAUUGAUUUUCUUGUUGAUAUGGGCACAUAUUAUUCCAUUUUAAACACCCCAGAAGGAAAAAGCACAAAAGCGACAGUACUCCUGAUGGGGGUUGCAAGUAGAAUAUAGCAAAAGGUUUUCUUACAACCAUUAGAAUGCGAACUGGGGGAUUUGCAGUUGAGGCACAGCUUCCUUUCUAUGCUAGAAUCCCCUAUCCCAUUGCUGGAAUGAAACUUGCUUUGUAAAUUAAAUUCUUAAGUGACUUUUUCCCCAGAAAAGCAGCAGUUACACCUACAGGUCCCACGGAAACAAGCAUUGCAGCUGCAGAUACUACUCACUAAUCCCAACAAAGAGAAGAAACCAUUCCUCUGGAAAGCAACAAAUGACCACUGAUCCUGAUCAAGAAUUGAAAUACAAUUGUCUAGAAAUCCUUAAUGUGGCUUACUCUAAGAGGUGGACUUAUCAGAUCAAUUGAUGAUCACUCCAGACUGGGAGCUCUACACUGGUGGAAGCAGCUUCAUAGAAGAUAGACACCAAGCCAGGUCCGCAUAUCCCACAGACAAGCCUCUUCACCCUUUCUACCCAAGAGAUAAAGUGCUGCUGAAGUCUUGGGAAAACAAAGGACAAAACCAACAGCUGCUGAAAAGUGGACAGGAUAUCAAUGAACUGCUAACCACCCACUCAUUAGUGAAGCUGUCUGGCGUUAAGCCAUGGAUAUAUCAUACUCAGGUGAAGGCUGCCCCUUCUCCACCUCAGAUAACCAACCUGCCUGGACCUAUGAAUCAGAGAGAGACCUAAAUUGUUUCUUUAAAAGAACCUUGACAAUAAGUAGAAACUUCUUUCUUUGCUCUCAUAAUAUAAAGCUCUUAUUAGUUUUUAUCAUAAUAAGUACAUUUUUUGUGCUCGCUAAAACUAAUAAUUUUUUGCUGUAGUAGGCACAGCACUAUGCACAGUUUACAACAAGAAAAUUUGCUGAAUAUGUGGUCAAUAACCCUUUUCCAACAACUCUGGUCUGCCUUAGUAGGUUUUACCUAUGCAGGGAAAUGACUGGCAGUAUCUGAAAACAUUCAUUAAAAUUCUGAAACAAUAUGCCAGGCACUGUAGCUCACGCUUAUAAUCCCAGCACUUUGGGAGGACAAGAUGGGAAAAUUGCUUGAGCCCCAGAGUUCAAGUGCAGCCUACACAACAUGGCAAGGCCCCGUCUCUACAAAAAAAAUUUAAAAAUUAGCCAGGCAAGGUGGUGCAUGCCAGCUGUUGUCCCAGCUACUCAGGAACCUAAGGCAGGAGCCUAAGGCUCUCUGAGCCAGGGAGGCUGAGAUUUUAGUGAGCUAUAGUCAUACCACCGCACUUCAGCCUAGGUGACAGAGUGAGACCCUGACUCAAAAAAACAAAAAUUUUUAAACAAUAGGGUGGUGUGAUGGCUUACACAACCAGGAGCAAUGUGAUCAAUUGGCCAAUUAAUAAAACUCUCAGUGAUUCCAGACAUGGGAAGCCUUUCUCAAUGAAUAUCACAUAAGAAUAUGUGAACAGCUAUAACCAAUCUGCAACUAAGUCCUAAGAUAAAAUCUAGCAAUUCUCACUGUAAAGAAGUUUUUCUUCAUAUUUGAGAUGGUUUCAUUUUGUUGACAUCAACUGCAGGGCAGUUGAGUCAAGUAGCUCCUCUAUACUGGAAGCAUCAAAAUGACACCUGUGACUCAUCACCCAAUCUUAUUUGAAUACUGAGCUUGAUUUCCCAAGAACACUGUCAGCAUAUCAUAAUUUUGCAAGCCACAGAUUUGUUUGCCACAGAUUGGUCUCAGUGUUCCGGCUUAAACUGGUAUUAGUCCAACAGCACUGAAUGGCUGUAUGGCCCUAAUAUCUCACUUUGCUUGCCAUUGGAAUGACUAGGACAAUGUACUUUAGGUUUCCCAUGGGUGCAAGGGCAAUGGAGAAAGUACAAUCAAAAACUUGCUAAUCCCCCACACCUAAUUAAGACACGGACUAGAUCCAUUUUUCACUGGUAUGACUAUUUGGCUUCAAUCCUUAUGCCAUUAGCAGGAUUGAAGAUGUCAUCCAAUAUGUAGAAACCCUUGCAAAUUAUACCCAGUGGGUUAUCAAUGACAGCCUCCAAAGUAUCUCCUUAGUAAACUCUGGGAUGACCUACAUGCAAGAAGCUGUUCUGAAGAACUGCAUGGCUUUGGAUAUCUUUGCUGCACGAAGGGGACCUUGUGUCUUGUGCCAUUAUUAAAACUGAAUAUUGCGUAUAUAUUCCAGGUAAGUAAGGGAAUAUUUCUAUCCUUCUAGGAUAUGCACAAACGGAUUAAUGCUAUGUCUGACCUUAUGAUGUCACUAGACCAAUGGCUAUCUUAUUUGUUUGGGCCAGGAACUUCUUGGUGGAAAAAGCUGCUCAUAAUUCUAGCGAUGAUUUUAGGAAUAGGUGUGCUUCUUUGCUGGGGAUUAUAUAUUGCCAUACAUUCUGUAUGAAUGUGAGGGCUCUUGAGCCCUCCAACAGAUCUCUCCUAUAAGUCCAGGUAUUCAGGAAUAUUUUCAAAUCCACGUAGACUGGUUACAUUCCCUGAACAUCUCCAUCAAGGAGGAAGUAGCUAGAUUGAAUACAUUACCCACCUUCUAAAGAAAUAAAAUGGAAGUUGAC
rnacentral:lncRNA from 10 species